AUGGGUCACCACGUCCGCCGAUUAGUCCUGGUGCUCCUCUUCGCUGCCGCGGCCAUGGCGACUAGCGAAGUGGAGACGACGCCACCGAUCCCGGACCAGAUAGUCCUCCCGCCACUCCCGUCGCCGGCCGACAUCCCGGUCACGCCGCCGUGUCUGAAGAGCAUAUCCGUGUGCGCACUCGUCUACCAGGACCCCUCCCAGCUGGCACCGUGCUGCGUCGCCGUCAAGAAGCUCUUCGGCAGCGACCCGGAGUGCAUCUGCAACGGAAUCGCUGAGGCUCAGAAGGUCGCAAAGCAGUCCGGCCUCAACUACACCGUCGACGGCCAGGAGAUGUUUCGCCGGUGCGAGAUGCCUCUCACCAGCUGCGACCCCGAAAAACCAGG
rnacentral:rRNA from 1 species